rnacentral:tRNA from 1 species
AGAAGUUUAGGAUAAUAUAGACCAAAAGCCUUCAAAGCUUUAAGUAAGUGACUUCACUUAACUUCUG